CUGCACCCAGUCCCUAAGUGGACAUUCUGAGAAAUAGUUUAAACACAACGGCUCUAGGUCAAAGCCACUGAAGAUGACCUUUCAGCCCCCUCUUUAUUUCCUUCAGGUCGAGUCCCAGACACCAGAAGUCUGAAUUUGGAGAAGGCUGGGGUAGAUACUAGCCCCGACACUCAGAAGAUCCUGGUGGACUCCCGGGAAGCCACCUCUGUGCCCCACAUCUACGCCAUUGGUGACGUGGUGGAGGUUCCCACGACCGUCUUCACCCCGCUGGAGUAUGGCUGUGUGGGGCUGUCCGAGGAGGAGGCAGUGGCUCGCCACGGGCAGGAGCAUGUUGAGGUCUAUCACGCCCAUUAUAAACCACUGGAGUUCACGGUGGCUGGACGGGAUGCAUCCCAGUGUUAUGUAAAGAUGGUGUGCCUGAGGGAGCCCCCGCAGCUGCUGCUGGGCCUGCACUUCCUCGGCCCCAACGCAGGCGAAGUUACUCAAGGAUUUGCUCUGGGGAUCAAGUGUGGGGCCUCCUAUGCGCAGGUGAUGCGGACCGUGGGUAUCCAUCCCACAUGCUCUGAGGAGGUAGUCAAGCUGCGCAUCUCCAAGCGCUCAGGCCUGGACCCCACGGUGACAGGCUGCUGAGGGUAAGCGCCAUCCCUGCAGGCCGGGGCACAUGGUGCGCCUGCCGCCAGCUCCUCGGAGGCCAGACCCAGGACGGCUGCAGGCCAGGUUUGGGGGGCCUCACCCCUCUCCUGGAGUG
rnacentral:sRNA from 1 species